rnacentral:tRNA from 1 species
GGGUCGGUGGCGUAGUUGGUUAUCGCAUCUGUCUUACAAGUGCGCACAGAAGGUCCUCAGUUCGAGCCUGGGUCGACUCA